UAUCAUCAGAAGCCUGUGCCCCUGUGGCCGGUGCUCCUGGACUUGGAUGUGCUGCCGGGCGACCCCGCCUGGCUCAUCCGAAAUGCAUUAGCGAGAGACGUAGGCUCCCCCGGCUCUCUUUGGCGUGAUAAGGUCACCCGUCGAGAGGCCCCGGUGGUGAGGCCUGCAAUCCUUUUGCUUCCAAUUGUCCUCGCGGACAACAGCAGACUCCGGUCUGAC
rnacentral:misc_RNA from 1 species